GUAACGUAAAGGAAGCGUAAAUGUAUUAGAUUAUGAAUCUAAUCCAUCAUCGGAUGUUUCUUCAUUAUGAAUAAAGAGAUAAUCAUAUAUCUCUUUGUUAUGACUAAAGAGAUAUUUGGAUGGAAACAUUAAAAGUAAUGACUUUAGUAUGUUCCAUUAUGAAUGCAAAAUAUAUAUUGCCAUAUAGAAGCUUACAACAUUGUUGUUUGGAUGGGAAAGUUCAUUUAUGAACUCUCUAUUCGGUUCCAACCAGAAAGUGUCUCUAGUGUACCGACACUACGACACUAAUGGGGCGAUAGCUCAAGCCAGGGAAUCAAGGUCUCAUCAAGAUCCGAACUCAAAUGAGAGACUGAACCACAUGAUUAAGAAUCAUGUAUAAUGGUGUCGUCGUUAUUCUCAAGGUUGCUUCUAUGGAUAACAUAUAAAUAUCCAUUGUCUAGGCCUACUAUUCAGCCAUUUAUGAAAUGACUACAGAAGAGGUAUCAUCACUGAUGACCAAGCUGAUUGGCUCUAGUGCAAGUGGGAGAUUGUUGGAAAUGUGCCCUAAAACCAAUCAUAUGAUGAUACUUUACGGACAGUUCACAAGUUAAACUAAUGUAGUUUAAAUAUAAAGGGCAAAGAUUAUUGUUUUAAGCCGUCUCAU
rnacentral:lncRNA from 1 species